CAAAUGUCCAAUUUAUUGAGGAUUUACUCUAUGGAGCAAGAGCUGUUUGCAGCCUCCUUAACAUGAUCCUGCUUACAUCCUAUCAUCUGCAUCAGGUUCUUGCAGAAUUUGUGACUAUCAGAGGCCUUCAGGGAACUCCUACUCCUCCUUCAAGAACACCUUGAAACUUUCCCAAUGUUUCCCAACCAGAAAAUGUUUCCUGACCAGCUCAGAUUCCAAGCCAGCUAGCCAGAAGGCUUUAUAAAGACAACCCAGCAGUCACAGUUGUCAGAAAGGAGAGGACAUCUCCAUGCCAUGGGAGGUAGAGAUACCAGCCAAGGAGCCCCAAGGAUUGCCGGCAGCCAGCACCAGAAUGCCAAAGACUCCAGGAGAAA